UUUGGUUUCACAAGCACUCUUGCAUCUUUAAACAAAGUGUGGGGAUGUUUUGGAAAGAGGGAAAUGGCUAAGACAAAGGAACAAGCGGGAUCGAGUUCAUCAUCAUCAAAAGGGAAAGGCAAACAAAAAGAACAACCACCGCGAAAAAGGCAAUAUAUGGGUCGUAUAAGUGAAAGCGAGAGUGGGAGUGAAGAAGAGAUCGAGUUGGAUCCGAGUGAAAAGCCGGUGUGGAAUUCGGGUCCAUUAGAUGAUCAAGCAGAGGAGUG
rnacentral:lncRNA from 1 species